rnacentral:rRNA from 1 species
UACGUAGGGUCCGAGCGUUGUCCGGAAUUACUGGGCGUAAAGAGCUCGUAGGUGGUUUGUCGCGUUGUUCGUGAAAACUCACAGCUUAACUGUGGGCGUGCGGGCGAUACGGGCAGACUGGAGUACUGCAGGGGAGACUGGAAUUCCUGGUGUAGCGGUGGAAUGCGCAGAUAUCAGGAGGAACACCGAUGGCGAAGGCAGGUCUCUGGGCAUUAACUGACGCUGAGGAGCGAAAGCAUGGGGAGCGAACAGG